rnacentral:sRNA from 1 species
GCUUGAGGAAGGAAGGCUAAGAACGCCGCGUCCUGCGGCAACGCCUUCAUGACCAACCUCGUGUUGG